rnacentral:rRNA from 1 species
AUUGAACGCUGGCGGCAUGCCUUACACAUGCAAGUCGAACGGCAGCACGGGUGCAAUCCUGGUGGCGAGUGGCGAACGGGUGAGUAAUAUAUCGGAACGUGCCCAGUCGUGGGGGAUAACGUAGCGAAAGCUACGCUAAUACCGCAUACGAUCUACGGAUGAAAGCGGGGGAUCGCAAGACCUCGCGCGAUUGGAGCGGCCGAUAUCAGAUUAGCUAGUUGGUGGGGUAAAAGCUCACCAAGGCGACGAUCUGUAGCUGGUCUGAGAGGACGACCAGCCACACUGGAACUGAGACACGGUCCAGACUCCUACGGGAGGCAGCAGUGGGGAAUUUUGGACAAUGGGCGCAAGCCUGAUCCAGCAAUGCCGCGUGCAGGAUGAAGGCCUUCGGGUUGUAAACUGCUUUUGUACGGAACGAAACGGUGAGCUCUAAUAAAGCUUGCUAAUGACGGUACCGUAAGAAUAAGCACCGGCUAACUACGUG